AGACACGGGUUAUGGUCAUUGCAGUUUCUCCAGCGCGGCUGGCUGCACGACUAUGGAGCGAAUUCUGUGACAAUAUUCAUCAAACAAAUCCAGCGUUUUGCAUAGAAACACAAUCUGUUUUGCAAAGAAAAACUCGACUUUCAAACAAAUGCAAAGUGAUUUGCAAAUACUCUAUUUGAGAGAAAAUGCAGAGGUACGGACAAAUACAUAGCCGUAGCCAGGCUUUGAAAAUUAGUGAGGUCCGGGAGGUGGGGGUGUUAAAGAAUUGUGCUAUAAUAACCCCUACAAAUACAACUCAUUAACACUUUAAAAGAGACAGACAUGUAGAUGUUAGUGAAACCAUACCCUAUUUAUUGCAUCAAAAUCUGUUACUAUAGUUAGGGGUGGAUCAUUUUUCAGCUGUUUAUUAUUCAUGCAACAAUACAAAUUACUGUUAUAGUUUUUAUUAAUAACCAUUGCAGUAUAGUAUAUAUUAAUAACAUUGUCUAGUACUCUUAUGAAUGUUUUUAGCAUGAUUUGUGAAAAUUUAACUACUAUACUGAAUGACAUAGCAUAGAUUCUUCAUGGCUAGUGUUUGCAUAUUUCAUUUAACUCUGUAACCUACUUGUUCUACAGAUCUGUGUACUAGUUUUAAAUGCUAGUACAGUUUUUGACAGUGUUGAUAGCGUUUCUGACAGAUAAUACAAUAUUUUUUUUACGUUUCCCUUACUGAAUGUUGUUAAAUCAUAAGUCUUUAAUCCAACAAGGGUAAAUCUAAAUGUAACACAGCAACAUUUAAGACAUGUAGACGUAAGACUAAACAAACUCAAAGGGAACAUGCAGGAACUUAAGUACUCAGACCAAACAAGGAUAAUUAACUAGGCACACCUGAACAGAAUAAUACAAUCAACACAACACAAGGGAAACAGUGCAAAAGGAAAACAAAGUCUGAAUUAACAGAAACCUUGACAGUAAGAGCUAUCAUUAUAGUGCACUUCUGUUUUUAUGGUGCACAUUAAAAGCAUGUUUCAAAAAAUUAGCUUCUUUAUCUUUCUGGGAAAAUUGAUUAUCCAAAAGACCGGUCCGAUGACAGCGUUACUGUAGUUAAAGCUAAAGUAGUCUUAUGGGCCGAACUUACUGAUUGACGGUUUUUCCCCUGUCGGUUCACAGAAGCUAUAAUGCUAAUAUUAAAAUCCGUGUUUCUUUUGGUUCACAGUUAAGAUAAGUUCAGCAAGUGUUUUUCUGCAUGUUCAGUUUAGCUGUGAUGUUAGCAUUUCAUUACACUUAGCUUCAGUCGUAUAAAUCAGCACUUGUGCAUGAAUUAGCUUUUUGUUAAUGCUAGUUUGUCUCUUAGAUAUAUAUUCGUAACUAUUAUUAUUUAUAAUAACUGCAACUGAGUUGUUGAGCUUAAAGUGAUGUGCAUAUGCUAAACAUUUAUACUAAAAGUUACAGUUAGUCUUGAAAUGUAACACUUUGUUUCUCUGUUUUAGGUGUUCAUGGAGUUCUACAGGAUUGUGGGCAAGAAUCUCAAGCAAUCAUCUAAUUGAGAUAUUUCAGUCUAAAGAGUGAAUGUUGGGCAGCUGUUGACAGUGUUACGUCCAAUGAUGUAUUCACUGCGUUGUGUAUUGUGAUGUUUUCUUGUUGUUGUGGUUUCUCUCUCUCUCUCUGCCUCCUGCUUCUCUGGCUCCUCCCACUUUUUCCACUCUGGCAGGUGGCUGAUUGCUCUUCCCAGCUGCACCUGCUUACCAGCUGAGGACGCAGUAGUAUAAAAGCCAAACAGAACCCUCAGAAGAGGAGAACUUCUCUCCAGAGCAUGUCCUGUGCCCAGCCCUGCCCAGCUCAGUUUGUUGGAGUUCUGUAUGGUUGUUAUCUUCACUAAUCUAACUGUUGAUUAACCUGCUGUUGUGGCUAGAAGCUAGCUAACCUUUGUGCCCUUUGUUGAGCCAGAUAUUGGAAGAUACUUAGCCUACAGUUUUGAUGUUUAAUCAUUUAUUCUGUUUUUUUUUCCCUGCUACCAACAGCUUAAGCUGCUCUCUCUUAAUUGUUUGUUACCCUUUUGGAAGCCGUAGGGAGGUGGGCGCCUUUUCUUUUGGACUGCACCUUUUUUCUCCUGGUUUGAGGAUUAGAUAGGGAGUGAGAGUAUAAUUUUGUUGUUGAUUUCCUUUUAUUUUGACAGGUGUAGAAAGAAUUCCUCCCCCCCCCCCCCCCCAGAAUAGAAAUGCUUUUGUUUGUUAUUUUGGCGACGUUCCCCCUCCUGAAGUUUUUUUGCUUUAACUUUUCCUUGUUUGGAAGCUAUUGCAUACUCUCUGAGCUGUGAAUAAAACCUGUUAAAGGAUUGUUGUUGUUGUUGUUGUUGUUGUUGUUGUUGUGCUGUGGCAGGGGCUUGGGCUAAUGCUCUUUUCAAACCCUUAAUAUUGUUACGUUAUCUUUACACCCCUAGACACUUAAGACGUAACAACAGCUUUCACAACAAAUCAAGACUAAAGAGCCAGCUGAUACUAGGUUUCUGGUGCUCAGACGGCUCCCUUUUGACCUUUGCGACAACCCUACAGAUUUCUACAAAGUGUGCUUUGACUCUGAUGACGAUUACUCAUUCCACCACUUGGACAUUGGAAUCAUCCUCAUUGAGCAUGAAGGUGAUGUGCUCUCAUCCUCUCUCCGUCUCAAUCCAGCCUCAUUGAAGAUCAUCAUUGAAGGAGAUUUUGUGAUGGACAGUAUUGAAGACUUGUCAAAAGCUAUGUGCAUUCUGUAUGGACUUACGCACUGCAUCUCAACUACCCUAAAUCUAUGAAGAACACCUUCCAGAUCAUCCAAGAGGUACUUCUCAUGUUGGGCCACAGUGAACUAAAACCAAGGUUGCAAACUCUGGAAAAAUUGUCCUACAGUGUUAGGAAAUGCGAGAAGCUUCCAUGAGAAGUCACUUGUGUUCUGCCGUACGAGACAUUAAAGUGUAUUCUGUCUCUGCAUAUUAGUGCUGUUAGUGCUCAGUUAAUGUGUUCACACGAUGCUUCAGCCAAGUUUAAAGUUACAGAGACUUGCCUCUGUUUUAAUUUAUGCCCAGUUGUUAAUGCGCAUCCAGGCAUUCACAAGGGAUAUAGCAUAUAUUCUUGAAUACUGCGUGUUCAUGUUACUUCUACAAAAUAGUUACAAUUGUUAACAAGCUGUUCCAAAGCUUAUUUUUACUUGUCUUGUGGCUGACAAAUUUUAUGUAUUGUCGUGCUACCAUUUCUUUUUGUGAACAAUAAAAAAACGGGUUUCUACGCGAUUUUUCUAGUAAAGUCAACUAAUUCGGGUUAAAAGUGCAGUGUUAAGUGCAACAUCCAAACCAGAAGGCCCUCAUCUGUUUUAUAAUAUAUGGGGCAUAUUUGCCAUGUCAAAUGUGGGACAAGUUAGGCUCAUAGCCACAUUAGCCAGUGCUCACUGUGCCAUAUCUUUGCCAAAACUGGCCCAAAUAUGUUUUAGGAUAACUGGGCCACAUUUGUAGCGUCAUAUGCGGGCCACUUUAGACUCACAGCCACAUUAGACAGUGCUUACCGUGCCAUAUCUUUGCCAAAACUGCUUAUAAUGCUUCUUUCUGGAUUUUGUGCAUUAAAUUAAAACAGCCUGUACAAUUUCAAUGCAGAUUUUUUUUUUUUUUUUCUGACAUGAAACCGCUUCAGAAUGCCUCUAAAAAUGGAUUUUGCAUUGGUGCAACUAAAAAGUUAUAAUGUUGAACAAUCAUUCAUGAAACAUUUUUAAGAAUAAACUCAAUUUUCUAAAGAAAAAAAGUUAAAGUUUUGUAUUCCAAAAAAGAAUGUUCUCCACUAUUUCCCUGAGAUUGUUAUACUUGCUAAGUUAACAGAUUCAUAUAUUUAUUGGUAUAAGAUAGUCUGUCACUUUAUUCCUAAAUAAAAAAAAUAUAUUUCAGAAAUUUUUCGAGGAUCACACUAAAAAGAACAAACACAAACUUCUUAUUUAUCCCCAGAAAUUUUUUAUUUUAUUAAAAAACGUUUUUUGAGAAUCUGACU